rnacentral:rRNA from 1 species
AGCGAACGCUGGCGGCAGGCUUAACACAUGCAAGUCGAACGCCCGUAGCAAUACGGGAGUGGCAGACGGGUGAGUAACGCGUGGGAACAUGCCCUUUGGUUUGGAAUAACUCAGGGAAACUUGAGCUAAUACCGGAUAAGCCCGAGAGGGGAAAGAUUUAUCGCCGAAGGAUUGGCCCGCGUCCGAUUAGCUAGUUGGUGAGGUAAUGGCUCACCAAGGCGACGAUCGGUAGCUGGUCUGAGAGGAUGAUCAGCCACACUGGGACUGAGACACGGCCCAGACUCCUACGGGAGGCAG